ACAGAGGAGCUUGCUCCUUGGGUGACGAGUGGCGGACGGGUGAGUAAUGUCUGGGGAUCUGCCCGAUAGAGGGGGAUAACCACUGGAAACGGUGGCUAAUACCGCAUAACGUCGCAAGACCAAAGAGGGGGACCUUCGGGCCUCUCACUAUCGGAUGAACCCAGAUGGGAUUAGCUAGUAGGCGGGGUAAUGGCCCACCUAGGCGACGAUCCCUAGCUGGUCUGAGAGGAUGACCAGCCACACUGGAACUGAGACACGGUCCAGACUCC
rnacentral:rRNA from 1 species